rnacentral:rRNA from 1 species
GGGUAUUAAAACCUAAAGGCAAAACAAAAGUAAAGAAAGCUUUGCUUUUUAAGGGAGGAUAGUUAAAUUUUAUCUCGCACUCCCAGGGCGUUAAUUACUCAUUGAGUAAAGGCGCACCUAGAGCGUACAUGUUGGGUCCCGAAAGAUGGUGAACUAUACCUGACCAGGAUGAAGCCAGGGGAAACUCUGGUGGAGGUCCGUAGCGAUUCUGACGUGCAAAUCGAUCGUCAGAGUUAGGUAUAGGGGCGAAAGACUAAUCGAACCAUCUAGUAGCUGGUUCCCUCCGAAGUUUCCCUCGGAUGCUGGGCCAUAUGAUCUAGUGCACCUUUACUCGCAAAGAGUAAUUA